rnacentral:rRNA from 1 species
UGACGGUACCCUUUCGAAUAAGAGGUUGCUAACUCUGUGCCAGCAAGCAGCGGUACUACAAGAGACCUCGAGCGUCAUCCGGAUUCACUGGGCGUAAAAGCGUCUGUAGGGGGGUUAGUCACGUUCCAAGUUAAAAAUCUUAAGGGUCACCUUUAAGUUCGGCUUUGGAAAACUUAUAAACUGGAGUCCCAGCAGAGGUGCAUGGAACUUGCGGUGUAGGAGUGAAAUCCGUUGAUAUCGCAAGGAACACCAAAGGCGAAGGCAUUGCACUGGGCUGGUACUGACCCUGAGAGACGAAAGCGUGGGGAGCAAAACGGAUUAGAUACCCGUGUAGUCCACGCCGUAAACGAUGGAUACUAGAUGUUCCGGGGAUUCGACCCCCUGGGUGUCACAGCUAACGCGUUAAGUAUCCCGCCUGGGAAGUACGGCCGCAAGGCUAAAACUCAAAGGAAUAGACGGGGAUCCGCACAAGCGGUGGAGCGUCUGGUUUAAUUUGAUAGUAAGCAAUGGACCUCACCAAGGUUUGACAUCCUAUGACAACCCUGGAAACAGGGCUUCCUUCGGGCAUAGUGACAGGUGCUGCAUGGUCGUCGUCAGUUCGUGCCGUGAGGUGUUCCGUUAAGUCGGGAAACGAACGAAACCCUCGUCGCAUGUUACAAAUUUCAUGCGAGACUGCCCGGGUCAACCGGGAGGAAGGCGGGGAUGACGUCAGAUCAGCAUGGCCCUUAUACCUUGGGCUACACAGGCGCUACAAUGUCCGGUACAAAGGGUUGCAAAACCGCGAGGUGAAGCUAAUCCCAUAAAGCCGGUCCAAGUUCGGAUUGGAGGCUGCAACUCGCCUCCAUGAAGUUGGAAUCGCUAGUAAUCGUGGAUCAGCCAUACCACGGUGAAUACGUUCCCGGAUCUUGUACUCACCGCCCGUCACACCAAGAGAGUUGGUAG